UUCUUCCCUGUACAGCUCCGUGGAAGGACCCUGACUCCCUCUAGUGGACAGCACCAGUAGGCAAACAGUAAUUCUGCCCAGCAAAGUCCAGAAGCCAAGAGAAGGCACUACAGAAAUGCUGGAACUGAACUCUGAUAAGAGGAAAAAUGAGGUGUCUAGUCCCAGAAGAACCUUGCUGCUGUUGCUCUGACCCGAGCGCGUCAUUGGUGAAGGAAAAGUUGGAUCAGUUGUCCAGGGACAUUUCAUGUAGGACCAGGCUGUGCUGCCGUUGAUCACAACUUGGCUUUCUGGAGAAUUCCGCUGUGCUUCUGUGAUCUCGCUGUGGGCCCCAUGCUGGAAGCUCUGCUCCUCUCCCAGUGGGGACUCCACUUCUCAUUUCCUGGGCCUUCUGUUCAUGAUUUGCGGAUGUGACAGAGGAUGAUGUUGGCUCCAUCUGGAAAGUGGGUCAGCCAGUCUUCGAGGAGACACCUUGGAGGCCUAGGAAUAGUGCUCUGGAUACAGAUGACAUAAGCUUAGAGACAGAUAGGAGAGGGAAGAAAGGACUUGACCCUCAGAAAGUGAAAUUCAACUUCAGCCUGAAGUGGAGCAUUG